UACGGAGGAUCCGAGCGUUAUCCGGAAUUAUUGGGUUUAAAGGGUGCGUAGGCGGCCAUUUAAGUCAGUGGUGAAAUUUUGCAGCUUAACUGUAACAGUGCCGUUGAUACUGUUUGGCUAGGAUUUGGUUGUAGUGUGCGGAAUGUGUGGUGUAGCGGUGAAAUGCUUAGAUAUCACACAGAACACCGAUUGCGAAGGCAGCACACUAAGUCAUUAUUGACGCUGAGGCACGAAAGUGUGGGGAUCAAACAGGAUUAGAUA
rnacentral:rRNA from 1 species